AGGGCUGGGAGUAAAUAAGUGUCACAAGAUCAGAUGGUUUAAUAAAGGGGAGCUCCCCUGCACACACCCUCUUGCCUGCCACCACGUAAGACAUGCCUUUGCUCCUCCUUCGCUUUCUGCCAUCAUUGUGAGACCUCCCCAGC